rnacentral:rRNA from 1 species
AACGAACGCUGGCGGCAUGCCUAACACAUGCAAGUCGAACGAGACCUUCGGGUCUAGUGGCGCACGGGUGCGUAACGCGUGGGAACCUGCCCUUAGGUUCGGAAUAACUCCCCGAAAGGGGUGCUAAUACCGGAUAAUGUCUUCGGACCAAAGAUUUAUCGCCUUUGGAUGGGCCCGCGUUGGAUUAGCUAGUUGGUAGGGUAAAAGCCUACCAAGGCGACGAUCCAUAGCUGGUCUGAGAGGAUGAUCAGCCACACUGGGAGUGAGACACGGCCCAGACUCCUACGGGAGGCAGCAGUGGGGAAUAUUGGACAAUGGGCGAAAGCCUGAUCCAGCAAUGCCGCGUGAGUGAUGAAGGCCUUAGGGUUGUAAAGCUCUUUUACCCGGGAUGAUAAUGACAGUACCGGGAGAAUAAGCUCCGGCUAACUCCGUG